UGAGGAAUAUUGGGCAAUGGGCGAAAGCCUGACCCAGUGAUAGUUUAUGAGUGAGAAAUGGACAGCAAUAUCGCUGUAAAGCUCUUUUAACAAAGACGAUAAUGACUGUAUUUGAAGAAUAAGCACUGGCUAAUUCUGUGCCAGCAGCCGCGGUAACACAGGGAGUGCAAACGUUAUUCAUCAUAAUUGGGUGUAAAGGAUAUGUAGGUUGCUCUGGAAUAGGAUAUUUUAUAAAAUGCUAAAGAAAAUCCUUUAGAAUGAUAAAAUUUACCCAAGAGCUUUGAGUUUAAGAAAAGUUAAGAGAAUUUCUUGUGUAGGGGUAGAAUCCAAACAUAUUAGAACGACUAUCGAAAUAGUUGCGAAAGCACUUUUCAAGCUUAAUACUGACACUGAGAUAUGA
rnacentral:rRNA from 1 species